rnacentral:lncRNA from 1 species
CAAGCAGCAACCUACAACUGAAGACUAUCAACAGUUUUGUCCUUCAGGCUGUCAUCCUAACCCCUAAUUCUUUCCAGGUGUCAUUCUGUUGUCUUGGAGACCUGGCACAAGGGGUGAAUUUGGAAUUUUCGUUUACUUCUUUUUAUUUUUUUAAAGACAAAUUCCAACAUUCUUUGGGAAAAGACUUCAGCUCUCCAAAUCAACAAGGAAUCUGCUCUUUGAAGCUUCUCUUUAACUUUUGCUAAAAACAGCAACUACUAAGGAGGCUCAAUGUAUAGUCUUUCCAAAUACUGGACCUCUGUGUAAAUAUUUCCCCAGCUCAUCUCUUCUGUUGAACAUGACUCAGUGGCACAGCUGCUGCUCACAAUUCUGCAGCAAGGCUCAGGAGGGGCUGCUUUAGUGUCCUAAGAGCCAAUUACUCUAACUGCCUUUGUUUGCUUGUUUGUUUCCUCAUACCAACAAGCAGUUUUGGUCCUAGAUAUCUUAGGUAUCCAAAAGGGCUUCUGAUGAGUUCCAAGGUAAUUUGAUUUUCUUUUACCUUUUGGAGAGAUAACUCUGCUGCUCUACUCUUUAUUUUUAUGGUCAAGUAAAAAACAAAACAAAACACAACAACCUCUAUUAAUAGAAGACACAAGCCUGCAACACAACGAAAAAUCAACGAGCAAAUAUACAGGAGCUGUAAUUAUAAAAAUAGCAUCUGCCUCUGCCCUUGUUACAGGUUCAACAAGACUUUAAGUACAGAUGUGUGGGGAAUGAGGGAGAGAGGAAGAUAAUGUCAUUUUCCUUUGCCAGGUGAAAGUCAUUUAGAGAGGUCUAAUCUUUAUAUUAUUAUUAUUAUUAUUAUUAUUAUUAUUAUUAUUAUUAUUAUUAUUUCUAUUCCUUGCUUUUCUUUAUUUUGUACAAUUAAUUCUAUUCUGUACAGCAGCUGUUGUGAUUGUAUUUAAAUGUGAGUGUGCACUUGGUCACCAACAAUGUCCUAUUUAUUGGUUUUUGUUGUGUUGUUUUUUUUUGUUGUUGUUGUUUAUUUGUUUGUUUUGUUUGGCUUCUAAGAGGAAGAGGUUUUAGAAAGGAUUAAGUCCUAUUUAAAAUGUGGAGGUGGAGAGGAAGGAUAACCUUGCAACUGAGACAGCAACUCCUGGGACUCGCCUGACUCUUGUGAUACAAAAAAUAAAUCAUUCAGUAGUAGUUCA